rnacentral:rRNA from 1 species
AGUGAACGCUGGCGGUAGGCCUAACACACGCAAGUCGAACGGCAGCACAGUAAGAGCUUGCUCUUACGGGUGGCGAGUGGCGGACGGGUGAGGAAUACAUCGGAAUCUACUUUUUCGUGGGUGAUAACGUAGGGAAACUUACGCUAAUACCGCAUACGACCUACGGGUGAAAGCAGGGGAUCUUCGGACCUUGCGCGAUUGAAUUAGCCGAUGUCGGAUUAGCUAGUUGGCGGGGUAAAGGCCCACCAAGGCGACGAUCCGUAGCUGGUCUGAGAGGAUGAUCAGCCACACUGGAACUGAGACACGGUCCAGACUCCUACGGGAGGCAGCAGUGGGGAAUAUUGGACAAUGGGCGCAAGCCUGAUCCAGCCAUACCGCGUGGGUGAAGAAGGCCUUCGGGUUGUAAAGCCCUUUUGUUGGGAAAGAAAAGCAGCAGGUUAAUACCCCGCUGUUCUGACGGUACCCAAAGAAUAAGCACCGGCUAACUUCGUG